rnacentral:rRNA from 1 species
UACAGAGGUCCCAAGCGUUGUUCGGAUUCACUGGGCGUAAAGGGUGCGUAGGUGGUGAGGUAAGUCGGAUGUGAAAGCUCGGAGCUCAACUCCGAAAUGGCAUUGGAAACUACCUUGCUCGAGGGUUGGAGGGGGGACUGGAAUGCUUGGUGUAGCAGUGAAAUGCGUAGAUAUCAAGCGGAACACCAGUGGCGAAGGCGAGUCCCUGGACAACUCCUGACACUGAGGCACGAAAGCUAGGGGAGCAAACGGG